rnacentral:rRNA from 1 species
AGUGAACGCUGGCGGCAUGCCUAACACAUGCAAGUCGAACGGCAGCACGAUAAGGCUUGCUAGAUUGAGGGCGAGAGGGGCGGGGGUGAGAAAUAUACCGGAACGUCCCCUGUAGCGGGGGAGAACUAGUCGAAAGACUAGCUAUAACAGCACAUAACAUGAACGGGAAAGUGCAGGAGAGCAAGGCACCAUGCGAGAGGAGAGGACGAUGUCUGAUUAGCUAGUUGGUGAGGUAAAGGCUCACCAAGGCGACGAUCCGUAGCUGGUCUGAGAGGACGAUCAGCCACACUGGAACUGAGACACGGCCCAGACUCCUACGGGAGGCAGCAGUGGGGAAUUUUGGACAAUGGGCGAAAGCCUGAUCCAGCAAUGCCGCGUGUGUGAAGAAGGCCUUCGGGUUGUAAAGCCCUUUUGUCCGGAAAGAAAAGGCUCUGGUUAAUACCUGGGGUUGAUGACGGUACCGAAAGAAUAAGCACCGGCUAACUACGUG